AUUAAUUAAGUAAUAGCAUAGUUGCCCGGGUUUCUUUUGUUUCAACAGGGUCGAUUACUGACUAAUCGCCCGUUACCAAGGGUCACACCUUUGUCUCCCUGGCGACUACGCAUUAAGCAAGGGCAAUUGAUAAAACUAGAAUAGUGAAGCGAAUAGUGCGAAUAGUGCGAAUAGUCGACGAAUAGUGCGAAUAGUCCGCGAAUAGUCGACGAAUAGUGCGAAUAGUCCGCGAAUAGUCGACGAAUAGUACGAAUAGUCGACGAAUAGUGCGAAUAGUCCGCGAAUAGUCGACGAAUAGUACGAAUAGUCCACGAAUAGUGCAAUAGAGACUUUGCAAGGCUUUCCACCGUGCUGUAGAACUAAAUUUACCGAAGCGGGGCGGGGGGGGGCUCUAUUGACAAACAUGAAAUCGUGAAAACAUUCGUUGAUGUCAAUGACGUCAUACGUAAUCG